rnacentral:misc_RNA from 1 species
GGACUACGAGGGUUUCUAAUCCUGUUUGCUCCCCACGCUUUCGUGCAUGAGCGUCAGUGUUGGCCCAGGAGGCUGCCUUCGCCAUCGGUAUUCCUCCACAUCUCUACGCAUUUCACUGCUACACGUGGAAUUCUACCUCCCUCUGCCACACUCUAGCCUGCCAGUCACCAAUGCAGUUCCCAGGUUAAGCCCGGGGAUUUCACAUCGGUCUUAACAGACCGCCUGCGCACGCUUUACGCCCAGUAAUUCCGAUUAACGCUCGCACCCUACGUAUUACCGCGGCGGCUGACAC